rfam:Trichobilharzia regenti genome assembly, scaffold: TRE_scaffold0013413
GUACUGAUGAAGAGUCCCAAACUAGGACGAAACAUUUGUCCAGUAC